GCAUCCAUGCACUCAGCCUGAUAUUUUGAAACAGCCAGAUUUGACUUGUCCAGCGACAAAACAUACAUCACCUGCAAAUUCCUAGAUAGGCUUUCAGUUCCACGCUUUAAUCCCUGCACUUUCAUCUUAGAUUCGACAAGGAAGAAACCAUCUAAACCAUGAUUAUUGACUUCUGUCCCUCCUCCUGAAGAACUCUUUGGUCCUCCCAAGCCGUUUUGCCAUUUUUUCUCACUUUCUCUCCCUCUCCUUCUUCGUCAUGCUCCGUUUAGGGCUUGAUUUUUUCUUUUUGAUAUUUGAAAUGGGUAAUUUGGAAAUAUAUGAAAAUGAAAAGGUAAAACAAAAAAAAUUCAAUCAAAAUGGGUAGAUUUCGUUAACACGUUUCAAAUAAAGUUUCAAAUAAAGGUAUUGGGCUAAAUUCCCCUAUUCUUUCUUCUUACAAGCCCUAACAAGCAGCCCUCAACUCUCUUUCUCACGGCCCUCAACUCUGGCCGUGGCUGACUGUCAUCACCUUCUCACAACCCUCAACUAUGGCCGACUAUCAUCACCUUUGCACAGCCCCUUCACACCUUCACACAGCCCUCAACUCGGCCACCGGUCAUCAAUUUCGCAUAGCCCUCAACUCGGCCGCCGACAUCAUCUUUGCACAGCCUUCCCUCACAAACAGCUGCUGCCGCUGCCGCACCAAGCUGCAUCCUGCCGCCAACAAGCUUCACCGCCACCAAGCAAGGUCCUUACCGACCAUCACCUUCACAAACAGCCCUCACAAAUAGCCAGCCUUUCAACAGCCGAUAGGUUGUUGGGUGCUUUAGGGGGUAUGGAAAGAUCUACAACAUGCAGAACCCAUUUGAUUGGAUGGAGCUGAUAUCAUUGCAGGGGAGACCAAUUUCGUCGAGAAAAGGGUAGGUGAAUAUCAAAAACAUUCACUUAUGUCCAGCAUCAAUGGGAAUGGUGUGAACCACGUGUUAAAGACGGAUGAAGAUUUUUGAAACUAUGGUAAACCAAUUUUGUCAAUAGUUUUGGCUUUGGAACAACCACAAUUGAGUAAAUCGUUGGAUAUUCAAAGCAGUCGACAAUAGAUAUGGAUAAAAGAAGAAAGAAUAAAAUAAAUAAAAAAUUUUAAAUUGGGUAUUUUUUGUAUUUCAAAAUAUUGAGACUCUGUAAAAUAAAUUUGGCAGUGGGACCAGAAAUUCCCUUUUAUUUUUGUGUAAUUUGUAUUUUAUUAUUAUUAUUAUUUUUUUUUA